rnacentral:rRNA from 1 species
UACGUAGGGUGCGAGCGUUGUCCGGAAUUACUGGGCGUAAAGCGUGCGCAGGCGGUUGUGCAAGACAGGGGUGAAAUCCCCGGGCUUAACCUGGGAACUGCACUUGUGACUGCACGGCUGGAGUGCGGCAGAGGGGGAUGGAAUUCCGCGUGUAGCAGUGAAAUGCGUAGAUAUGCGGAGGAACACCGAUGGCGAAGGCAAUCCCCUGGGCCUGCACUGACGCUCAUGCACGAAAGCGUGGGGAGCAAACAGG